rnacentral:lncRNA from 1 species
GUGAAAGGAUACCCCCGCAACAGGACAGGUCUUCCUUUCCCAUGUGGGCUCUUUAUCCAGAACCCAGAGCUGCGGAGAGUCUGGCUUCUGGGACCCUUGACUGGGGAGAAAGCAGGUGGGGGCCACGGAGGGAAGGCCCCAGAGCAGAGAGGCACCAGGCUGGCUGAGCCUGGGCAGCUGCCCUUUGCCUUAGCUCAGUGGUUCUCAAAGCCUGGCCCCCAGGCCAGCAGCACCAACAUCACUUGAGGCCACUCAGCCAGAAACUCUGCAGUGGGGCCUCGCAAUCUGUUUUAACAAACCUUCCAGGUGACUCUGGUGCAGAAUGGUGGCAAGAACUCAAACCUGGACUAGGCCUGCUGGGCCCAGAGGCCUUUGGGCCAAAGGCAGCCCCGCCGGUCCUUCUUUGAAUCCUUCAUCCGGACCCUCAUCAUCACGUGUGUGGCCCUGGCUGUGGUCCUGUCCUCGGUCUCCAUUUGUGAUGGGCACUGGCUCCUGGCUGAGGACCGCCUCUUCGGGCUCUGG